rnacentral:rRNA from 1 species
GUUGGGUAGGGGAGCGUUCUGUAAGCCUGUGAAGGUGUGCUGUGAGGCAUGCUGGAGGUAUCAGAAGUGCGAAUGCUGACAUAAGUAACGAUAAAGCGGGUGAAAAGCCCGCUCGCCGGAAGACCAAGGGUUCCUGUCCAACGUUAAUCGGGGCAGGGUGAGUCGACCCCUAAGGCGAGGCCGAAAGGCGUAGUCGAUGGGAAACGGGUUAAUAUUCCCGUACUUGGUGUUACUGCGAAGGGGGGACGGAGAAGGCUAUGUUGGCCGGGCGACGGUUGUCCCGGUUUAAGCGUGUAGGUGUGUGUUCCAGGUAAAUCCGGUUCACUUUAACACUGAGGCGUGAUGACGAGGCACUACGGUGCUGAAGCAACAAAUGCCCUGCUUCCAGGAAAAGCCUCUAAGCAUCAGGUAACAUCAAAUCGUACCCCAAACCGACACAGGUGGUCAGGUAGAGAAUACCAAGGCGCUUGAGAGAACUCGGGUGAAGGAACUAGGCAAAAUGGUGCCGUAACUUCGGGAGAAGGCACGCUGACA